rnacentral:misc_RNA from 1 species
GAUGAAGAACGUAGCGAAAUGCGAUAAGUAAUGUGAAUUGCAGAAUUCAGUGAAUCAUCGAAUCUUUGAACGCACAUUGCGCCCGCCAGUAUUCUGGCGGGCAUGCCUGUCCGAGCGUCAUUUCAACCCUCGAACCCCUCCGGGGGGUCGGCGUUGGGGAUCGGCCCUGCCUCUUGGCGGUGGCCGUCUCCGAAAUACAGUGGCGGUCUCGCCGCAGCCUCUCCUGCGCAGUAGUUUGCACACUCGCAUCGGGAGCGCGGCGCGUCCACAGCCGUUAAACACCCAACUUCUGAAAUGUUGACCUCGGAUCAGGUAGGAAUACUCGCUGAACUUAAGCAUAUCAAUAAGCGGAGGA